rnacentral:misc_RNA from 1 species
GAAAGAACCAAAAAAUAAAUAAGAAGAACCGAAGAGUUAGGUCUUACUUUUGCAACAUGUUAUUAAUUUUCAAUGAAUUAAGAAUAAUCGAAUGCAUAUAUUCGGCCGGAAGCUGAUCAAUUCAGCUUCUUUUUCUUUUGUUGAUUUCUAAUCAGCAAUCCAAAUGCGAUUGGAUGCCUAAAGCAAAGAGCAAAGAGUUGAUCCAUUUCUCCAAAAGUCUUCUAUAGUACAGUUACCGAGGUAAUUUCCCUGUUCCCAUUCUCAUUCCUUGUCAGCCCCAUGUGUUACGAUCCAUAGUAUCCCACACUGAAAGUGAUUUCAAUAUGGGGGUAUAUAUGGACUUAGACUCUACUACCUCAAUAGCUACCUUUUGGGGUGUGGUAUGGCAUCAAAGCCGGCUGUAUCUUGUGAGACUUAACGCUCGGAGUGGUGGUGUCUUAGACUUAUUGUGUAAGAACAGAUAGUCCAAUGUGUAACGUGACUAUGACCAACGCUCGCUUAAUUUGCCUAGUUUUAUAUUAUUAGUUUAUUAGAGUUGUAUUAGGUUGUAAUAAUUGAGUGAUUGAGUUCCUGUUUUACAGUGCAAUAGAACGAUAAAUAGAAUGAGCCUGUAAUGUUUGUCUGCUCUGGUUUGGUUCUUGGCCUUCUAGGUGUAUGUCUUUUUGUCUGAGUGAGGUUAGCUGCUAGUUUCUACUCUUUUUGGUAGUGUUUUUUAGCCUGGCUUUGCAUGCGGCUGUCUGUGCAUGUGUUGAUGUUUUUUCCUCCCUAUUUUAAUUAAAUUUC